rnacentral:rRNA from 1 species
UACGUAGGGUCCGAGCGUUGUCCGGAUUUAUUGGGCGUAAAGAGCUCGUAGGCGGCUCAGUAAGUCGGAUGUGAAAACUCGGGGCUCAACCCCGAGACGCCAUCCGAUACUGCUGUGGCUUGAGUCUGGUAGGGGAACACGGAAUUCCUGGUGUAGCGGUGAAAUGCGCAGAUAUCAGGAGGAACACCGAUGGCGAAGGCAGUGUUCUGGGCCAGUACUGACGCUGAGGAGCGAAAGCGUGGGGAGCAAACAGGAUUAGAAACCCCCGUAGUCC